rnacentral:rRNA from 1 species
AUUGAACGCUGGCGGCAUGCCUUACACAUGCAAGUCGAACGGCAGCACGGGUGCUUGCACCUGGUGGCGAGUGGCGAACGGGUGAGUAAUACACCGGAACGUACCUUAUCGUGGGGGAUAACGCAGCGAAAGCUGUGCUAAUACCGCAUACGCCCUGAGGGGGAAAGCGGGGGAUCGCAAGACCUCGCGCGAUUAGAGCGGCCGAUGCCUGAUUAGCCUGUUGGUGGGGUAAAAGCCCACCAAGGCGACGAUCAGUAGCUGGUCUGAGAGGACGAUCAGCCACACUGGGACUGAGACACGGCCCAGACUCCUACGGGAGGCAGCAGUGGGGAAUUUUGGACAAUGGGGGCAACCCUGAUCCAGCAAUGCCGCGUGAGUGAAGAAGGCCUUCGGGUUGUAAAGCUCUUUUGUCAGGGAAGAAACACCGGCUCUAACACAGUCUGGGAAUGACGGUACCUGAAGAAUAAGCACCGGCUAACUACGUGCCAGCAGCCGCCGUAA